AUACUUACCUGGUGCGGGGCCUCGUUGAUUCUCCGAGGACGAACCCCCAGGGCGCGGUGCGGGCAUUGCGCUGUGCUCGCGAUGACCUCUGCCACCACCCCAAACUGUGGCAGAUGGGUCAUGCAAAUUGC
rnacentral:snRNA from 1 species